GCCGGGUUACCCAAGCUAGGUAAGGGGUCAGCCUCGAGAGCUGAUGUCUUCCAAGACUCGUGGGUUCGAGUCCCACUCCCGGCGCCA
rnacentral:tRNA from 1 species